CUCUGUGUGUAUAUUUGUUUGGUAUGAUUGACAGCUACCAGUGGGAGAGUAUUUUUCGCGUGCCUGUGUUACGUGCCGUUGCGUAAUGGUUACGCGCUUACCAUGCGAACCACAUCGACAGCUUCAGCCACUGACACUUGCUCCCGCUCGCCAGUUUUUUUUUGCAAGCUAAAGAAUCGAAACUAACCUAGGCCUAUUAGCAAUAGGCCUAUGAAUUUGGGUUCUAGUGCACCGGGGUUGACAUGUUGCAGGAUCACACCAAGGUUCUUUGCCUAGAUCAUGGAGAUCCUGACUGACAGAAAAUGCCAAAGAAUGGUUGUGGUUGCAGUAAACGGUAGGCUAAAGUUUUGAUUUAUUAGCCUAGGCCUAGGCCUAUUCUGUCAGUUUACUUUUAGUUUUCUAGGCUAGGACUGGGGAAUAGUUAGUUAAUUUUAACGAUAUCAUUAAGGACGGUAAGUUAUAAAUCCAGUUAAAGUUAAGUUAAUAAUUAUUUGUUAGGCAGUUGCCAGUAUUUUAUUCAUUUUAACUAAGACUUGAUUAGGAUUGGUAGGCCUAGGAUAGGGUAAGCCUGGAUCUUGUAUUGUAUGACCAGGCCUAGGCGUGAACUAGGCUAGGUCCUAGGUGAGGCCACUAGGCCAAAGCCUAGGCUAACUAUUUAUUAAUUAGGGCUUGCCGAUUUUUUAAGUUUUAUCUUUGUAUCUGAUAACUCCAAAGGAAAUAACUGUUUUGUUAAGCUUUCUUUCUUCUCGGUUCAUCAGUUAUUGUUAUUGUAUUUAAUAACACGGUAUUUGGCAAAAAUGUCAUUUGAUCUUCUCAGCUUUGUAUGUACAUGUUGAAGCUGCAAUUAUGUAGUUGAAUGCCUUUCUUCGUCAAUCUGCACCGGAUGCGUAUCUGACAGUACAACUCCUGACCAGUACGUCACCAUCCAAAUCGGACAGACAGUAAGAAAUGGUAACUAGUUUAAUCACUGGCCAUCGACUAAACGACGAAGACAAAAUCCAGCCCAUUCUGGAACAACAAAAAGUGAAUGCCAUAAUCAAUUGUGUGCGUGAUGAGCACUGACAUAAUUGGAAACAAGAUGGGAAUCAAAUGUAAAGAUACUCGGCAUCUAAAGAGAAAAUGAAAAGUUAAACUUGUUGGAUUAGUCGUUUUUGUGUAUUUUUUCAGGACUAUAUCUUCCAACAGUUGAAUUUUGAAUGUUUUUUUCUUCAAUGAACUUUAAAAACCGAUAUUAUGACAAUAGUAUCCGAUUACAAUUUCCUGAAAGAAGUACCCACAAACCUUCAAUAAAUGUUUACAUUGUUUAUAUCAUUAUAUUGCUAUUCUUAUGUGGUGUUUCAUUUUCAGAUUGUUAAGACUAGUGUGUUCGUAUUAUAUUAUAAUUGCAUGUUACAAUCAAGACAAUGCAGUUAGCAUUGUUAGCAGGAAAUUAUUUAUAUUUACUGAGAAGUAUGUGCUGACAGUGUGGAGUGUGUGCUGACAGUGUGAUUACUCUGUGUUGACAAUAUGAUUAUUCUGUGUUGACAGUGUGAUCACUCUGUCAACACAGAGGGAUCACUCUGUCAACACAGAGUGAUCACUCUGUCAACACAGUGUGAUCACUCUGUGUUGACAGAGUGAUCACUCUGUGUUGACAGUGUGACUUACUGUGUGCUGACAGUGUGAUAACUUUGUGUUGACAGUGUGAUCACUCUGUGUUGACAGUGUGAUCACUUUGUGUUACAGUGUGAUCACUAUGUGUUGACAGGGUGAUCACUCUGUGUUGACAGUGUUAUUACCCUGAUCGCACUGUCCACACAGAGUGAUCACUCCGUGUUGAAAGUGUGAUUACUCUGUGGCAAUAGUGUGGUCACUGUGUGUUAUGACACUGUGGUCACUCCGUGUUCCACACAGUGCAAACAUCAUGAAUUACACAUAUUCAAUAGAGUCAACACAUAGUGAAAACACAGAGUGUCCAUAUAGUGUAAAACCAUAUAGUCAAAACACAUAGUGAAAUCACAGUGUUCCCACAUAGUGCCCACAUGGUGUACACUAUGUGCUUUAGUACCACAUAGUGGAAACCACAGAGUACACAACUAUGUGUUCACUGUGUGAAAACAUAGUAUUUCACUCUGUGUAAUUUUUCUAAGGGUGGAAAGUUCAGUAAAGGGUACUGCUAGCUGUUGGGUGUAUCAGACUGGGUGCACGAUUUCAGAGUUUUGGAAUGUAUUUGACCAGGGCCACAAGCUUUCCUAAUGUUAAGUUUGAACAAUUGAUCUUCUACAUUUCUAUAUUCAAUAAAAUAUAAGGCUAGUUUUAAAAGAAUAAUAAAUAGGAAACUCCCAAUUAUCGGCUUUUUGUAGUGGAACCUGGAAGCGUUUAGAAGUACAGUAAUGGAAAUUACAUCUCGAAGGAGGUGGCGAGAAACUAUUCUUAAGGAGUUAAUUUACCUGAAUUUGGUACAGAAUGACUGCCUUGGAAUUUCGCGUUUCUCCUUAUGUGCGCUGCACAUGUUUUAAUGAACAUUUUGAAACUUAAAUAGAAUUAUUUUGUUUUCUUCUGUUAUAAAAUAUAGUUAUCUGUGUUGCGUGUAUUUUUUCCUUAUCCAAUGAGAAACAACAAUCAGUUUCCUUUUUUAUUAUCUCAUCUCUGAUUUAGGUCUGAUGUGAUUUUCAUUGUUUGAAUUGAACAUUUUUUUGUUUGGCGAAAAAGAUUAAAUUAUACAUGUAAUAACAGUGCUUGAAUAUAUGAACAUAGGAUGUUUUAAUCGUAUCAAGCAUAGCUUUACACAAUUCUCAUGAAAAAGUUACCAGUGUGAGAUUAGAACCUGAAACCUCUAGCUAUCAAGAAGAGUGUCAAACUGUAAGACCACAGUGAAGUAACAAUAUACAGGCACUGAUCCAACUUCAGAUGCCUUUUCCCAUACAGUUACACAUUGUAGCUCAAGGGUUAAGAUGAGGUAGCUUUCAGGUCAUAAUCUGUCAUAAUAAUUCUUACAUGCUUUGGCUGUGUAUAUCUGAGUAAAUCCUCAGUGUCGAACCAUAACUCCGUUCUACGCGUUGCAACUCUGAGUAGCGUUUCGUCACGAUGGGUCAUAUUCAUAAUCCCAAAAGGCAAGUAUCAACAAUGCCAAUUAACCCAAUACAGUGUGAUUAAAUUUUUAAUAAAAUAUGUCUGGUGUUGC
rnacentral:lncRNA from 1 species